AGAACGAACGCUGGCGGCAUGCCUAAUACAUGCAAGUCGAACGAACACUUCGGUGUUAGUGGCGCACGGGUGCGUAACGCGUGGGAAUCUGCCCUUGGGUUCGGAAUAACAGUUGGAAACGACUGCUAAUACCGGAUGAUGACGAAAGUCCAAAGAUUUAUCGCCCAGGGAUGAGCCCGCGUAGGAUUAGCUAGUUGGUGAGGUAAAGGCUCACCAAGGCGACGAUCCUUAGCUGUCUGAGAGGAUGAUCAGCCACACUGGGACUGGAGACACCGGCCCAGACCUCCGUACGGGAGCAGCAGGUAGGGAAUAGUGGACAAGUGGGCGACAAGCCCUAGACUCCGAGCAAUCGCCGCGUGAGUGAUAGAAGGUCGUUAGGGUUACGUAAGUCUUCUUUACCGAGUAGUAGAUAAUAGACAGUAGACGGAAGAACGUACGG
rnacentral:rRNA from 1 species